UCCGAUAUGGUGUAGUGGCUAACAUUAUCACCUCUCAUAAAUGUUCGCGAUAGCCCGGGGGUCGAAUCCCCGGUCGGAA